UGACCUUCCACUUGACAAUAAAAUGAAAUCACACAAAGUCAUACACAUUGCAAUAGUUCAGUUUAUACUUAUACUUGUCAUCCAAGAAACACACCAACACAUUCCAAUACAUUUAGAAGGCGGGAAAAGUCGAUACGAAGGCAGAAUAGAAUUAUUUCAUAACGGAGCAUGGGGAACUGUAUGUGGUAAUCAGUUUGAUGAAAAAGAUGCACGUGUAAUUUGUCGAAUGCUU